rnacentral:lncRNA from 1 species
GUUGAACACCAACCUUGAGAACCCUACCGUCCCCCAUCUAGAGUAUCGUAAGGGAGGUAAAUCUAAAAAUGUACUCCCAACAAAUCAGGGAACAAAAGUUUACUUGUUCACUGGUAUUCACAAAGAGUUCAAUUUCAUAUCUCAAGAAUCGAACCUGCACACUGCAGCUGUGAGUAAAGUUGAGACUAUCUCACUCCUAUCCUUUACACCACAGGGUUAUGCCCCCGGAUAGCUUAUCUGAGAUUAUAAUUGUACAAUAGAUGGGCUAAAUAGACAAAAAAUUUCAUGUGUUUCACUAUUUCUACAUUAAGGUUAUGACUAUUCAACUUUGCAAUGGUUCCUUUGGUUCCAAGACUGGCGAGAGUGAGAGGUCCACUUUUAUAUUAUUAAAAUGACCAAAAAACAUCAAACUGCUACGAACUGGAGCUACUCGUGAAAACCCAAAAACUUUUCCAAAGGAAAAAGUAUCACCAACCAGAAGAAAGCACCAUGUUUGCCACUAAAGCAGGCAUCUCUCUUGGUAGCUAAUCAAUCAACAAAAAAGAUAAAAAUUAAAGAAAUUCUUCAAAUGUAAAUAUAAAACUUGUACGAUUGGCUAAAGAAUCUAACUGAACUCUUGGGAUAAUAUCUGGGCAAUUUAAAGUGGAUAUAAGUGGGGCAUUUUAUUUGAACAGUUGAAGUAUAAUUUAAUUUGAUGCUUCACUGAUUCUUCGGCCAACAAAUUACAAGCAAUCGAUGAGACCAUUACAACCACAAAACAUGAAUUCAAGUUCGUCGACUUUUCAUCACAAUAACAUAUGUUGCAGCACAGUAUCAUGAUCUCAAUGUAAACUAAUAACCUUUAAUGAUCUAUACAAAAUUAUGACCAGGAUGCCACUUCAACUGAUUAAUCUCAAGUUUUAAUUAAACCUCGAAGCGUAAAAGCACAGAAAUUGAUAAAAGAAACAAUCGUCCGCUAAAAAUUAAAUUUUAGUAAAUAAAACCUAAUAGUUUAGAAAUGCUAACCUCCACAAAGUUCGUGAAUUUGGGAUCCCUAUUUACUCCGUAGAGUGAUUGUCAAUAAUCUUCACUAUGAAUAACACUAUUUUUUUUUUUUUUAUUUGAACUUUCCAUCAUCCCUUAUAGAAAAGUCUAGGAAGAUUUAUAUAAUUUUAGGUUUAAAAAAGUAAUUACAUACAUAUAAAGAACCUAGCAUACUAAUGACUAUAAUGCAAAGUGAAAUUAGGGUCGCUAUCAACUUAUUCUUCGUUUUUUUUUUCCUUUUUUUCCCCAUACUUUUUUUUUUAAAUUAAAAUUUAAUGAAAUUUGAAAUAUUGAAAAUAUAUGUUGGUCCCAAAUAAAUCAAGCUUUUGUGACUUAACUAAUUUUAAUGAAAAUAUACAAAUAAAUUGCAAAAACACGAAGAAUUUUCAGCCCCUGGAGGUUCGAAGACCGCUGCUAAAGCCUAAUCCCCCCAUUGAGCAUCCAUUAAGAUUACACUCAAAUCCACUAUCACAAUCCCAAAACCAGGCAAAACCAAGUUAUAGAAUGAACACAAUGUUCAGCCAUUCAAAACUAUAGAAAAGGCCCUCAGAAUUACAUUCUAACCUCACCAAAAGAUGGAUUUUACUCUCUCAGAUUUACAACACAAUUUCACUAAGAAAUUACAAGGAAAUUCAUCCAGAAGAUGAAAAGAGUACAAGAAGAUGAACGGCCGUAACCAGAAGAAAAUGGGGUUCAAAAGAUCUGCCAACCCUAGAAUUAACUUCACUAUUCAUAAGAAUUAGGGCCAAUAAACGAUCCAACGACUGUCCAUCUGCCAAGUGUUAGAGAUUAAGAGUAGACACCUUUUACAAGUAGAAGCAUGUUUACAAAACACAUUUUUUUACUUAUUCUGGAAUCUUCAGUUAAAAUGGAUCAAUCAUUGGACCGGUUUUCUCACUUGGAUAACAUAUCAAAACUUGGGCUCAAGAAAUUCACCAAUCCAAACUUUUACAAUAUAUAUUGUAGUUUUCAACAUGUAACUUUCAGUGAAAAACUAACAAAGAAGGUGACAUCUUAGAUAAGAUUAAUACAUGAAAACACUGAAGUUUUUCGAAAAGUUGAUGACAUGACGAUAGUAUAUAAAACUUACAAAGAUGUAACUUUUGAUGUGUUCUAGUAUUUUCGCGAGUUAUUUUUCUCUGGGCCAUAGUAUAAUAUUUACCCCAAAAAAAAAAAAUUUAAAAACUUCAAUAGCCCAAAAAGAUUGUCAGCAGUGUGACAACAGGCCAAAUGGUCCGACCAAAAUUAUCAAAUCUUCUUCAUCAAUGCUUGUGUUUGCUUGCAACUGCAUAAAUCAGCCAUCUCACAUGAGUCUUGCGACAUUUGGCACCUAUUAUUCAUCACAUGAUUCUUGAUUUGUUUGAUGCAUACAUCUGACCAUCCUGCCUUUCACUACGGUGCUUACUUUGAGUAAGCAUAUGGUAAACCUCAAAAUAAUUCUCCCUAAUUUAUUUCUAAAUUAUUUUACACUAUAAUUGUCACGGAAGGAUUGUCACCAAGGUGUAUUUCCUGGCUGGCUCAGUUAUACUUUUAAACCGAACCAUACAUCCAAAACCUUCGACUAUUCCACACCCCAGUUGUUUUUUAUUGUACCCAUUUACGACCCAAUAGGGAAGGUGUUUUGCAACCACAAAUAUGAGGAAGAAGGCUGUCAGUGGAGC